AAUAGAUACCCGGGUAGUCCACGCCGUAAACGGUGGGCACUAGGUGUGGGGACCAUUCCACGGUCUCUGCGCCGCAGCUAACGCAUUAAGUGCCCCGCCUGGGGAGUACGGCCGCAAGGCUAAAACUCAAAGGAAUUGACGGGGGCCCGCACAAGCGGCGGAGCAUGCGGCUUAAUUCGAAGCAACGCGAAGAACCUUACCUAGGCUUGACAUGCAGGGAAAUCUGGCAGAGAUGCCAGGUCCUUCGGGGCCUUGCACAGGUGGUGCAUGGCUGUCGUCAGCUCGCGUCGUGAGAUGUUGGGUUAAGUCCCGCAACGAGCGCAACCCUCGUUCUAUGUUGCCAGCGGUUCGGCCGGGGACUCAUAGAAGACUGCCGGGGUCAACUCGGAGGAAGGUGGGGAUGACGUCAAGUCAUCAUGCCCCUUAUGUCUAGGGCUGCACGCAUGCUACAAUGGUCGGUACAAAGGGCUGCAAUACCGUAAGGUGGAGCGAAUCCCAAAAAGCCGGCCUCAGUUCGGAUUGGGGUCUGCAACUCCG
rnacentral:rRNA from 1 species